ensembl:lncRNA
CUACUUCUCAUAUUGCUUUAUUCAUGCUUGUACAGCUCUUUGGUAAACACACACAUUUCUAAAAAAAAAAAAGUGCUUCAUAAAUAAACUUUCACUUGACUUGAAACACACACACACACACACAUAUAUUAAAACAACCCGAUUUUGUACAUUGAACAAUGUAUGAAUGUAAUGGGUUUGUUUGUUUUAUUGUUAAUUAAAUUAUAGAACAAAGCCAACUCACAUGGAUUUCAAUAACUAUAUACAAACCAGUACAUGCAUAAAAAAAACUAAAAACAAGGAUCAGCCAAAAUAUAUUUUAUAUAACUGUUUCUGUUUUUAAUGUGAAUACCAGUGGGUUCUAAACAAGUUUUGCUGUAUGAAGAGAAAAAAGAAGGAUUCAACACAAAAAGAUACAAAGUUGAGAGAGAGAGAGAGAGAGAGAGAGAGAGAGAGAGAGAACAAACAUGAUACAGGUUUGAAAUGACAUGAUAGUUAGUAGACGGUGACAGAAUCUUCCCUGUUUUUGGGUGAAUUCUCCUGUUAACUGUGCUACAGAGACGUGAUGUGAGGCCACUGCAGCAGAGUUUAGGUGGAGGUCUCGGUGGGAAGGUCGUAACCGGAGCAGUAAACACCGAGUUACGAGAGACAUCCUGUGUACAUGAUGUUCUCCAGAUGCAGAGGACUGCUUUUACAGCUUCAGGAUUUACUGCCUUCGCUGCUCCUGUCACAGUUUAUUUAGGCUUGAAGCUGACGCUCAGACGAGUGCGUACUGAACGCUCAGAAUACUCCAGUGAGCUGAGAAACACAGUUAUUAAUGAUCCUCUCGUCUUUAACAAGAGCCGCAGAAAUAAAGUUAGAACUCCAGAAAUCUGACUGUGGUUUCUUCUCAAAGCAUGAAGGCAUCCAUCCUUCUGACAGGACCAGGAUGAGAAGGGCUGGGCUGGUCCAGUUUGGUUAAAGAGGGUCAGUUUCACAUUACGCAUGGCUGGGUUUCACAGGUUUGUAAGGGUGACAAGAGAGCUGAUGGUAAAGGGGGGAUAAAAAUAAAGGCGUAGUGAGACCAAGGCAUCAUCACUGCAGAACCCAGCUCACGACUUCCUUCCUGCACCAAGAGAGCCACAAGAGGAAGUGUGUGUGCGUGUGUGUGUGUGUGUGUGUGUGUGUGUGUGUGUAUGUGUGUGUGUGAAUGCAAGGGUGUAACUAGUUUAAUACGGCAUAAAAAACUAACAACACAGAGUUAGUGUUAGAGAAGACUGAGGAAAAGCGUGUGUGAGUGCAGAACUUAUAAAGCGUCUGCUUAUGAAAAGCCUUCAGUGCCAGUGACUCGCACUGCCCACUGGCGGCCGAGAGAGAUCGGAUAGCUAUUAGAGAACGAGCCGUCAGAAACACAUGCCUACUCACAGGUUUUGUGUGGGAGAAUCUGCUGCUGGGAUACAGAGAUAAAUCAUCUCCUACAGAAACAGAGGAAAGACAGCGAUGGGCUUUAAUACGCCUCCAGAGUAAGACACAGAGGGAGAUGCGAUGUUAAGACCUCUUGCACAUGCAUGCAAUGAUUUAUUUCUACUAAGUCUUUCAUUUCAUAAUAAACUCAAACAUGGCAUGCACUUCAUUCGUCUUCACAGGUCUUUGCAACCAUGCAAAAAAAAAUCAUGCAUCUCAGAUUCUUCAUUUAAUUAAACAGGAUGAAGCACAUUCAACUACAACACAGUUUUUUUUUUUUUUUUUUUACUAAAUACUAUGUAUAGUAGUAAUAUAUCAGACCAGAAGAAUUAGAGGUCAAUCGAUGCUGGAUUCUACUGAUGCAAUAAUAUUUAAAGAUAACUGUGCUUCUGAUCUAUAUUUUGCAUGUUCUUAGUCUUUGCUUUCUAUGAUGGGGACUGUGCAAAUUAUAUCCAAAAAAAGUCUUUAAGCAUAAUGUGGGGCAUUUAAUUAUAAACAAGCCCUGAAUACACAAGGACUUUUAUUUUGGAAGGUCUAUGCUUUGCUCCUUCGAGCAGCUCAUUCAAACAGAUGCAGGGAAAGAAUAUGAACACAUACAACCAUCAACAAUAUAUAAACAGUGUCAUGAUUAAAUAAUCUGACGAUAGUCACUGACUGAGAACUGCACUGAAACGCUGAGCCUGUAGAAUGCUAAACAUUUGCAUUUUGAUCUUUCUUUAAUUGAGUCAUGUUUAGAAGUUCCCUCUCAUCUCUACACUGAACAUGUGGACUGAAGUACCUGUAGAAUGGGCACAGCGGUGUGUCUCUGGCAUCUGGAAGAACAAAUCCACACAUUUAUCAUCUUCCCGAACCAUGCACCUUUUUAAAAAAUGGUGUGGUGGAUUCUAGCGGUCUCACUUCUGAAAUUACCAAAGUACAGGUCUGGCAGAACCUGGAACGACAACCAAACCAAGAUAACACCAAUCUACAAACUGACACUCUCUCAAUCAGUUCACAGCUCAGAAGAGUUUUCCAGGAUCAUCUGAAUUUGCUGUAACAUCGUGUUUUUGUCAAGCCGUUUAAAACGGACACACUCUGGGACAAGAGGCUUGAACUGUGUUUAUGUA